rnacentral:tRNA from 1 species
GGCCGACUAGCUCAGUUGGUUAGAGCGUGGUACUAAUACGGGUAUUCUUGUGUUAUGCCAAGGUCGUCAGUUCGAUCCUGGCGUUGGCCA